GUUGUAUAGUCAAGUAAUUAAGUGCAUGUGGUGGAUGCCUUGGCAGUCAGAGGCGAUGAAAGACGUGAUAGCCUGCGAAAAGCUCCGGGGAGGCGGCAAAUAUCCUUUGAUCCGGAGAUGUCUGAAUGGGGGAACCCACCUACUUUAAGGUAGGUAUUGCAACAUGAAUACAUAGUGUUGCAAGGCGAACGAGGGGAAGUGAAACAUCUCAGUACCCUUAGGAAAAGAAAUCAAUUGAGAUUCCCUCAGUAGCGGCGAGCGAACGGGGAUCAGCCCAUUAAGUUAUGUGUGUUUUAGUGGAACGCUCUGGGAAGUGCGAACGUAGAGGGUGAUAUUCCCGUACACGAAAGGGCACACAUAAUGAUGACGAGUAGGGCGAGGCACGUGAAACCUUGUCUGAAUAUGGGGGGACCAUCCUCCAAGGCUAAAUACUCCUGACUGACCGAUAGUGAACCAGUACCGUGAGGGAAAGGCGAAAAGAACCCCUGUGAGGGGAGUGAAAUAGAUCCUGAAACCGCAUGCAUACAAGCAGUGGGAGCACCUUCGUGGUGUGACUGCGUACCUUUUGUAUAAUGGGUCAGCGACUUAUAUUCAGUAGCGAGGUUAACCGUAUAGGGGAGCCGUAGAGAAAUCGAGUCUUAAUAGGGCGUUUAGUUGCUGGGUAUAGACCCGAAACCAGGCGAUCUAUCCAUGAGCAGGUUGAAGGUUGGGUAACACUAACUGGAGGACCGAACCCACUGUCGUUGAAAAGCCAGGGGAUGACUUGUGGAUAGGGGUGAAAGGCUAAUCAAGCCUGGUGAUAGCUGGUUCUCCCCGAAAGCUAUUUAGGUAGCGCCUCGGACGAAUACCAUAGGGGGUAGAGCACUGUUUCGGCUAGGGGGUCAUCCCGACUUACCAAACCGAUGCAAACUCCGAAUACCUAUGAGUACUAUCCGGGAGACAGACUGCGGGUGCUAACGUCCGUAGUCAAGAGGAAAACAAUCCAGACCGCCAGCUAAGGCCCCAAAAUCAUAGUUAAGUGGGAAACGAUGUGGGAAGGCAUAGACAGCUAGGAGGUUGGCUUAGAAGCAGCCACCCUUUAAAGAAAGCGUAAUAGCUCACUAGUCGAGUCGGCCUGCGCGGAAGAUGUAACGGGGCUAAAACUAUGUGCCGAAGCUGCGGAUGUAUACUUUGUAUACGUGGUAGGGGAGCGUUCUGUAAGCCGAUGAAGGUGUGUUGAGAAGCAUGCUGGAGGUAUCAGAAGUGCGAAUGCUGACGUGAGUAACGACAAAACGGGUGAAAAACCCGUUCGCCGAAAGACCAAGGGUUCCAGUCCAACGUUAAUCGGGGCUGGGUGAGUCGACCCCUAAGGCGAGGCCGAAAGGCGUAGUCGAUGGGAAAAUGGUUAAUAUUCCAUUACUUCUGUGUAAUGCGAUGAGAGGACGGAGAAGGCUAAAUCAGCCUGGCGUUGGUUGUCCAGGUGAAAGGAUGUAGGCAUGUAUCUUAGGCAAAUCCGGGGUACUCUAUGCUGAGAUCUGAUAGCAAGCUGUACUUGUACAGCGAAGUGGUUGAUGCCAUGCUUCCAGGAAAAGUCUCUAAGCUUCAGUUACACAGGAAUCGUACCCGAAACCGACACAGGUGGUCAGGUCGAGUAGACCAAGGCGCUUGAGAGAACUCUGCUGAAGGAACUAGGCAAAAUGGUACCGUAACUUCGGGAGAAGGUACGCUGUUGUUGGUGAUGGAACUCGCUUCCUGAGCUGACGACAGCCGCAGAAACCAGGCCGCUGCAACUGUUUAUUAAAAACAUAGCACUCUGCAAACACGAAAGUGGACGUAUAGGGUGUGAUGCCUGCCCGGUGCUGGAAGGUUAAUUGAUGGGGUUAGCGUAAGCGAAGCUCUUGAUCGAAGCCCCAGUAAACGGCGGCCGUAACUAUAACGGUCCUAAGGUAGCGAAAUUCCUUGUCGGGUAAGUUCCGACCUGCACGAAUGGCAUAAUGAUGGCGGCGCUGUCUCCAGCAGAGGCUCAGUGAAAUCGAAAUCGCUGUGAAGAUGCAGUGUACCCGCGGCUAGACGGAAAGACCCCGUGAACCUUUACUGCAGCUUGACACUGAACUUUGACCUUACUUGUGUAGGAUAGGUGGGAGGCUUUGAAGCUGGAACGCUAGUUCCAGUGGAGCCGUCCUUGAAAUACCACCCUGGUAAUGUUGAGGUUCUAACUCUGUCCCGUGAUCCGGGACGAGGACCGUGUCUGGUGGGUAGUUUGACUGGGGCGGUCUCCUCCUAAAGAGUAACGGAGGAUACGAAGGUGCGCUCAGCGUGGUCGGAAAUCACGCGUAGAGUAUAAAGGCAAAAGCGCGCUUAACUGCGAGACCCACAAGUCGAGCAGGUACGAAAGUAGGUCUUAGUGAUCCGGUGGUUCUGUAUGGAAGGGCCAUCGCUCAACGGAUAAAAGGUACUCUGGGGAUAACAGGCUGAUACCGCCCAAGAGUUCAUAUCGACGGCGGUGUUUGGCACCUCGAUGUCGGCUCAUCUCAUCCUGGGGCUGAAGCAGGUCCCAAGGGUAUGGCUGUUCGCCAUUUAAAGAGGUACGCGAGCUGGGUUUAGAACGUCGUGAGACAGUUCGGUCCCUAUCUACCGUGGGCGCUGGAAAUUUGAGAGGAUCUGCUCCUAGUACGAGAGGACCAGAGUGGACGAACCUCUGGUGUACCGGUUGUGACGCCAGUCGCAUCGCCGGGUAGCUAUGUUCGGAAGGGAUAACCGCUGAAAGCAUCUAAGCGGGAAGCCCUACCUCAAGAUAAGAUUUCCCUAGGACUUUAUGUCCUCUAAAGAGCCGUUCGAGACUAGGACGUUGAUAGGUUGGAUGUGGAAGCAUAGUGAUAUGUGAAGCUGACCAAUACUAAUUGCUCGUGAGGCUUGACUAUACAACACCCAAGCAGUUG
rnacentral:rRNA from 1 species